AGCACACCAAGAAGAAGUGUCUAUUAGUAGUCCCUAUUAUGAACUUUCAAAAGAGUAUUAGAUCUUGAUUAUUGUUUUGCUUCUGUAUAAUUUAUUCUUUUUACACAUUUAUUUGAGAAUAUUGUUUUUCUUUUUAACAAAUGGUUGAAUCUGAGAAAAGCUUCGAGAUAUUCGAAGAACGCCAUGAAGUUCAAACGGACGCCAUAAAAUUCAAAAGGCUACCAUGAUGAUUCAUGACAAAACCGUUAACUUUUCACAAAAAUAUGAUUUUUUACAUCUCGUAAUUCCUCUACGGAGUUCGAUGGUUCCUUCCUGAUAAUUACCUUGUCGAUAACUUUAAACUACUGCAGUAUCGAUUGCAGCGUUUCCACAUCUUAUGGUUAUGUUGAGUCAUGGACACAAAAGCGUCCGCGCCUGUGCGAACUGU